rnacentral:tRNA from 1 species
UCUCUGAUGGUCCAGUGGUUAAGACUCUGUGCUUUCACUGCUGAGGGCCUGGGUUUGAUGCCUGGUUGGGGAA